GACGAACGCUGGCGGCGUGCUUAACACAUGCAAGUCGAACGGAAAGGCCCUGCUUUUGUGGGGUGCUCGAGUGGCGAACGGGUGAGUAACACGUGAGUAACCUGCCCUUGACUUUGGGAUAACUUCAGGAAACUGGGGCUAAUACCGGAUAGGAGCUCCUGCUGCAUGGAGGGGGUUGGAAAGUUUCGGCGGUUGGGGAUGGAUUCGGGGCUUAUCAGCUUGUUGGUGGGGUAGUGGCUUACCAUGGCUUUGACGGGUAGCCGGCCUGGGAGGGUGACCGGGCACCUGGGGACUGCGGGACGGACCAGUCGCCUACGGGAGGCAGAAGUGGGGAAUAUUGCACAAUGGGAGCAAGCCUGAUGCAGCGACGCCGCGUGUGGAAUGACGGUCUGUUGGUUGUAAACCGCUUUAGCCUGUGACGAAGCGUGAGUGACGGUAAUGGGUAAAGAAGCACCGGCUAACUACGUG
rnacentral:rRNA from 1 species